rnacentral:rRNA from 1 species
GUGGCGGACGGGUGAGUAAUGUCUGGGAAACUGCCUGAUGGAGGGGGAUAACUACUGGAAACGGUGGCUAAUACCGCAUAACGUCGCAAGACCAAAGAGGGGGACCUUCGGGCCUCUUGCCAUCAGAUGUGCCCAGAUGGGAUUAGCUUGUUGGUGAGGUAACGGCUCACCAAGGCGACGAUCCCUAGCUGGUCUGAGAGGAUGACCAGCCACACUGGAACUGAGACACGGUCCAGACUCCUACGGGAGGCAGCAGUGGGGAAUAUUGCACAAUGGGCGCAAGCCUGAUGCAGCCAUGCCGCGUGUAUGAAGAAGGCCUUCGGGUUGUAAAGUACUUUCAGCGGGGAGGAAGGUGUUGUGGUUAAUAACCGCAG